rnacentral:misc_RNA from 2 species
AACGCACAUUGCGCCCCUUGGUAUUCCGGGGGGCAUGCCUGUUCGAGCGUCAUUAUAACCCUCAAGCUUAGCUUGGUGUUGGGGCCUGCCAACUGGCAGCCCUUAAAAUCAGUGGCGGUGCCAUCUGGCUCUAAGCGUAGUAAUUCUUCUCGCUACAGGGUCCUGGUGGAUGCUUGCCAACAACCCCCAACUUUCUAAGUUUGACCUCGGAUCAGGUAGGGAUACCCGCUGAACUUAA